UCAUUCGGAUUCGCCAUCAUACGUCCAACGGUGCAGUUGAUAUGCAUAUAUAUGCAUCACGAGCCACGGUUGGGCUGUAUGAUGGCGAUACCGAUUGG
rnacentral:pre_miRNA from 1 species